GAUGAACGCUGGCGGCGUGCCUAAUACAUGCAAGUCGAGCGAAUGGAUUAAGAGCUUGCUCUUAUGAAGUUAGCGGCGGACGGGUGAGUAACACGUGGGUAACCUGCCCAUAAGACUGGGAUAACUCCGGGAAACCGGGGCUAAUACCGGAUAACAUUUUGAACCGCAUGGUUCGAAAUUGAAAGGCGGCUUCGGCUGUCACUUAUGGAUGGACCCGCGUCGCAUUAGCUAGUUGGUGAGGUAACGGCUCACCAAGGCAACGAUGCGUAGCCGAACUGAGAGGGUGAUCGGCCACACGGGGACUGAGACACGGCCCAGACUCCUACGGGAGGCAGCAGUAGGGAAGCUUCCGCAAUGGACGAAAGUCUGACGGAGCAACGCCGCGUGAGUGAUGAAGGCUUUCGGGUCGUAAAACUCUGUUGUUAGGGAAGAACAAGUGCUAGUUGAAUAAGCUGGCACCUUGACGGUACCUAACCAGAAAGCCACGGCUAACUACGUGCCAGCCGCCGCGGUAA
rnacentral:rRNA from 1 species